rnacentral:tRNA from 1 species
GGUAGCUCGUCAGGCUCAUAACCUGAAGGUCACAGGUUCAAAUCCUGUCCCCGCAACCA